AUGAACGCUGGCGGCGUGCCUCAUACAUGCAAGUCGAGCGAACGGACGAGAAGCUUGCUUCUCUGAUGUUAGCGGCGGACGGGUGAGUAACACGUGGAUAACCUACCUAUAAGACUGGGAUAACUUCGGGAAACCGGAGCUAAUACCGGAUAAUAUUUUGAACCGCAUGGUUCAAAAGUGAAAGACGGUCUUGCUGUCACUUAUAGAUGGAUCCGCGCUGCAUUAGCUAGUUGGUAAGGUAACGGCUUACCAAGGCAACGAUGCAUAGCCGACCUGAGAGGGGUCUCGGCCCCCCGGGACACGGGCCCCGUCCCAGCCCCCCCGGGGGGGCAGCAGUGGGGAAUCUUCCGCAAUGGGCGAAAGCCUGACGGGGCAACCCCGCGGGAGUGAUGAAGGUCUUCGGUUCGUAAAACUCUUUUAUUAGGGAAGAACAUUUUUUUAAGUACCUGUGCCCCUUUUGACGGUCCCUAAUCAAAAAGCCCCGGCUAACUACGU
rnacentral:rRNA from 1 species